UAGUAACGGCGAGUGAAGCGGCAACAGCUCAAAUUUGAAAUCUGGCUCUUUUAGAGUCCGAGUUGUAAUUUGCAGAGGGCGCUUUGGCGUUGGCAGCGGUCCAAGUUCUUUGGAACAGGACGUCACAGAGGGUGAGAAUCCCGUACGUGGUCGCUAGCCUUCGCCGUGUAAAGCCCCUUCGACGAGUCGAGUUGUUUGGGAAUGCAGCUCUAAAUGGGAGGUAAAUUUCUUCUAAAGCUAAAUACUGGCCAGAGACCGAUAGCGCACAAGUAGAGUGAUCGAAAGAUGAAAAGCACUUUGGAAAGAGAGUCAAAUAGCACGUGAAAUUGUUGAAAGGGAAGCGCUUGCAGCCAGACUUGCCUGUAGUUGCUUAUCCGGACUUUUGUCCGGUGCACUCUUCUGCGGGCAGGCCAGCAUCAGUUUAGGCGGUUGGAUAAAGGUCUCUAUCACGUACCUCCCUUCGGGGCUGGCCUUAUAGGGGAGACGACAUGCAACCAGCCUGAACUGAGGUCCGCGCAUCUGCUAGGAUGCUGGCGUAAUGGCUGUAAGCGGCCCGUCUUGAAACACGGACCAAGGAGUCUAACAUCUAUGCAGUGUUUGGGUGUCAGCCCCAACCGUAAUGAAAGUGAACGGAGGUGGGAACCUUUUAGGUGCACCAUCGACCGAUCCUGAUGUCUUCGGAUGGAUUUGAGUAAGAGCAUGGCUGUUGGGACCCGAAAGAUGGUGAACUAUGCUUGAAUAGGGUGAAGCCAGAGGAAACUCUGGUGGAGGCUCGCAGCGGUUCUGACGUGCAAAUCGAUCGUCAAAUUUGGGCAUAGGGGCGAAAGACUAAUCGAACUAUCUAGUAGCUGGUUCCUGCCGAAGUUUCCCUCAGGAUAGCAGUAACGUAUUCAGUUUUAUGAGGUAAAGCGAAUGAUUAGAGGCCUGGGGGUUGAAACAACCUUCACCUAUUCUCAAACUUUAAAUAUGUAAGAAGUCCUUGUUACUUGAUUGAACGUGGACACUUGAAUGUACCGUUACUAGUGGGCCAUUUUUGGUAAGCAGAACUGGCGAUGCGGGAUGAACCGAACGCGGGGUUAAGGUGCCAGAAUAUACGCUCAUCAGACACCACAAAAGGUGUUAGUUCAUCUAGACAGCAGGACGGUGGCCAUGGAAGUCGGAAUCCGCUAAGGAGUGUGUAACAACUCCCUGCCGAAUGAACUAGCCCUGAAAAUGGAUGGCGCUCAACGCGUGUUACCCAUACCCCGCCGCCGGGGCAGAA
rnacentral:rRNA from 1 species